AGAUACUUAGUGGCGGACGGGUGAGUAACGCGUGAGGAGCUGUCCUAUGGCAGGGGGACAACAGCUGGAAACGGCUGCUAAUACCCCAUAAGCCGAGAGGUAAAAGGAUCAAUCCGGCAGAGGAGGUACUCGCGUCCUAUCAGCUAGUAGGUGAGGUAACGGCUCACCUAGGCGAAGACGGGUAGCCGGCCUGAGAGGGCGAACGGCCACACUGGAACUGAGAUACGGUCCAGACUCCUACGGGAGGCAGCAGUGGGGAAUAUUGGGCAAUGGGGGAAACCCUGACCCAGCGACGCCGCGUGGGUGAAGAAAUCCUUCGGGGAUGUAAAGCCCUGUUGUAUGGGAAGAGCGGAAGACGGUACCAUACGAGGAAGCCCCGGCAAACUACGUGCCAGCAGCGGC
rnacentral:rRNA from 1 species